rnacentral:lncRNA from 1 species
GGAAUUAUUGAGACAAUCUGGAAAUUUUAUUGAGGUUGUAGGGGAAAGUGGGUUAGAAUUCUAAACAACAGAUAAACUGCAAUUACAACAGGGAGUGAAUAAGAAGUGAUAAGGUGAGAGGAAGACAAAAGACUAAGAGCAAAAUAAGCUAGAAUGAGUGCAAAAAAAAUGAGAGAGAAAGAAUGGGUAGGGAAGGAUGUUGUUGUCUUGUAAAUGUCUCUGUUGUGAAUAAUAUGUGAGUGUGUGGCUAAUAAUAAGUUGUGGAUGAACUCCGUUUGGAUAAUAAUUAACAUAUAUAGGAUAUGUUCUGUAAAUUUUCUGCGUGGUUGUGUGUGGCUAUUUAUGAAGUUGUGGAAUAAACUCCGUUUGGAAUAUGGUUGCCAUAGGAUGAGUCGAUGUAAUCUGGAAUAGGCAAGGAGUACGAUAAAGUAGUGAGAUGUAAAGUAGAAGGGAUAUAGAACUAAAAACGUGAUGAGUUAGAUUGUUGUCAUGACUUUAGAGCUCAAUAAGAAACCGAACAAGUAAGAAACAAGAGUGGUGGGCAGAGGA